rnacentral:rRNA from 1 species
CCUACGGGUGGCAGCAGUGAGGAAUAUUGGUCAAUGGGCGAGAGUCUGAACCAGCCAAGUCGCGUGAAGGAUGACGGCUCUAUGGUUUGUAAACUGCUUUUAUACGGGGAUAAAGUGAGUAACGUGUUGCUUUUUGUAUGUACCAUAUGAAUAAGCACCGGCUAAUUCCGUGCCAGCAGCCGCGGUAAUACGGAGGAUGCGAGCGUUAUCUGGAUUUAUUGGGUUUAAAGGGUGCGUAGGCGGUUACUUAAGUCAGCGGUGAAAGUUUGUGGCUCAACCAUAGAAUUGCAGUUGAAACUGGUUGACUUGAGUGUAUCGGAGGUAGGCGGAAUGCGUGGUGUAGCGGUGAAAUGCAUAGAUAUCACGAAGAACUCCGAUUGCGAAGGCAGCUUACUAAACUAUAACUGACGCUGAGGCACGAAGGCGUGGGGAUCGAACAGGAUUAGAUACCCCGGUAGUC